ensembl:snoRNA
CUGGCCCUGAAUCAAGGCCAGCAGCUUCCUGAUGCUGUUGGUUUUUAAGCAGGAGCCUAAAGAGAUGUCUUUCUAUGGUUUGUUGGCCAUUUCAGAACUUGGGCAGUGAAAUAGUCAAUUCAUUAGAAAGAAACAGCU